GGGUGUCAGGGUUUCCCUCAGUGCUGCGUGGCCUGCCCACCCGUGCUCCUUCCCCAGGGGCCUGGAUCAUCACAGGGGGGUCCCACACCGGCGUCAUGAAGCAGGUAGGUGAGGCGGUGCGGGACUUCAGCCUGAGCAGCAGCUACAAGGAAGGCGAGCUCAUCACCAUCGGAGUCGCCACCUGGGGCACUGUCCACCGCCGCGAGGGCCUGAUCCAUCCCACGGGCAGCUUCCCCGCUGAGUACAUACUGGAUGAGGACGGCCAAGGGAACCUGACCUGCCUAGACAGCAACCACUCUCACUUCAUCCUCGUGGACGACGGGACCCAUGGCCAGUACGGGGUGGAGAUUCCUCUGAGGACCAGGCUGGAGAAGUUCAUAUCGGAGCAGACCAAGGAAAGAGGAGGCGUGGCCAUCAAGAUCCCCAUCGUGUGCGUGGUGCUGGAGGGCGGCCCGGGCACAUUGCACACCAUCUACAAUGCCACCACCAACGGCACCCCCUGCGUGGUCGUGGAGGGCUCGGGCCGCGUGGCCGACGUCAUUGCCCAGGUGGCCAACCUGCCUGUCUCGGACAUCACUAUCUCCCUGAUCCAGCAGAAACUGAGCGUGUUCUUCCAGGAGAUGUUUGAGACCUUCACGGAAAGCAGAAUUGUCGAGUGGACCAAAAAGAUCCAAGAUAUCGUCCGGAGGCGGCAGCUGCUGACUGUCUUCCGGGAAGGCAAGGAUGGUCAGCAGGACGUGGAUGUGGCCAUCCUGCAGGCCUUGCUGAAAGCCUCACGGAGCCAAGACCACUUUGGCCACGAGAACUGGGACCACCAGCUGAAAUUGGCAGUGGCAUGGAAUCGCGUGGACAUUGCCCGCAGUGAGAUCUUCACGGAUGAGUGGCCGUGGAAGCCUUCAGAUCUGCACCCCACGAUGACGGCUGCACUCAUUUCCAACAAGCCUGAGUUCGUGAAACUCUUCCUGGAGAAUGGGGUGCAGCUGAAGGAGUUCGUCACCUGGGACACCUUGCUCUACCUGUAUGAGAACCUGGAGCCCUCCUGCCUGUUCCACAGCAAGCUGCAGAAGGUGCUGGCCGAGGAGACCGAGCGCCUGGCUUGCGCGCCCGCGGCGCCCUGCCUGCAGAUGCACCACGUGGCCCGGGUGCUGCGGGAGCUGCUGGGGGACUUCACGCAGCCGCUUUACCCCCGGCCCCGGCACAGCAACCGGCCGCGGCUCCUGCUGCCCGUGCCCCACGUCAAGCUCAACGUGCAGGGAGUGAGCCUCCGGUCCCUCUACAAGCGUUCCUCAGGCCAUGUGACCUUCACCAUGGACCCCAUCCGCGACCUUCUCAUUUGGGCCAUCGUCCAGAACCGUCGGGAGCUGGCAGGAAUCAUCUGGGCUCAGAGCCAGGACUGCAUCGCAGCAGCCUUGGCCUGCAGCAAGAUCCUGAAGGAGCUGUCCAAGGAGGAGGAGGACACGGACAGCUCGGAGGAGAUGCUGGCGCUGGCAGAGGAGUAUGAGCACAGAGCCAUCGGGGUCUUCACUGAGUGCUACCGGAAGGACGAAGAGAGAGCUCAGAAACUGCUCACCCGCGUGUCCGAGGCCUGGGGGAAGACCACCUGCCUGCAGCUCGCCCUGGAGGCCAAGGACAUGAAGUUUGUGUCUCACGGGGGCAUCCAGGCCUUCCUGACCAAGGUGUGGUGGGGCCAGCUCUCCGUGGACAAUGGGCUGUGGCGUGUGACCCUGUGCAUGCUGGCCUUCCCGCUGCUCCUCACCGGCCUCAUCUCCUUCAGGGAGAAGAGGCUGCAGGAGGUGGGCGCCCCCGCGGCCCGCGCCCGUGCCUUCUUCACCGCGCCCGUGGUGGUCUUCCACCUGAACAUCCUCUCCUACUUUGCCUUCCUCUGCCUGUUCGCCUAUGUGCUCAUGGUGGAUUUCCAGCCUGUGCCCUCCUGGUGCGAGUGUGCCAUCUACCUCUGGCUCUUCUCCUUGGUGUGCGAGGAGAUGCGGCAGCUCUUCUAUGACCCUGAUGAGUGCGGGCUGAUGAAGAAGGCAGCCUUGUACUUCAGUGACUUCUGGAAUAAGCUGGACGUCGGCGCAAUCUUGCUCUUCGUGGCAGGGCUGACCUGCAGAUGAAGGACGUCUUCUUCUUCCUCUUCCUGCUGGCUGUGUGGGUGGUGUCCUUCGGAGUGGCCAAGCAGGCCAUCCUCAUCCACAACGAGCGCCGGGUGGACUGGCUGUUCCGAGGGGCCGUCUACCACUCCUACCUCACCAUCUUCGGGCAGAUCCCGGGCUACAUCGACGGCGUGAACUUCAACCCGGAGCACUGCAGCCCCAACGGCACCGACCCCUACAAGCCCAAGUGCCCCGAGAGCGACGCGACGCAGCAGAGGCCGGCCUUCCCCGAGUGGCUGACGGUCCUCCUACUCUGCCUCUACCUGCUCUUCACCAACAUCCUGCUGCUCAACCUCCUCAUCGCCAUGUUCAACUACACCUUCCAGCAGGUGCAGGAGCACACGGACCAGAUCUGGAAGUUCCAGCGCCACGACCUGAUCGAGGAGUACCACAGCCGCCCCGCCGCGCCGCCCCCCUUCAUCCUCCUUAGCCACCUGCAGCUCUUCAUCAAGAGGGUGGUCCUGAAGACUCCAGCCAAGAGGCACAAGCAGCUCAAGAACAAGCUGGAGAAGAAUGAGGAGGCGGCCCUGCUAUCCUGGGAGAUCUACCUGAAGGAGAACUACCUCCAGAACCAGCAGUUCCAGCAAAAGCAGCGGCCUGAGCAGAAGAUCGAGGACAUCAGCAAUAAGGUUGACGCCAUGGUGGACCUGCUGGACCUGGACCCACUGAAGAGGUCGGGCUCCAUGGAGCAGAGGUUGGCCUCCCUGGAGGAGCAGAUGGCCCAGACAGCCCGAGCCCUGCACUGGAUCGUGAGGACGCUGCGGGCCAGCGGCUUCAGCUCGGAGGCAGACAUCCCCACUCUGGCCUCCCAGAAGGCCACAGAGGAGCCAGAUGCUGAGCUGGGAGGCAGGAAGAAGACGGAGGAGCUGGGCGACAGCUACCACGUGAAUGCCCGGCACCUCCUCUACCCCAACUGCCCCGUCACGCGCUUCCCCGUGCCCAACGAGAAGGUGCCCUGGGAGACGGAGUUCCUGAUCUAUGACCCACCCUUUUACACGGCAGAGAGGAAGGACGCGGCCACCAUGGACCCUGUGGGAGACACCCUGGAGCCGCUGUCCACGAUCCAGUACAACGUGGUGGAUGGCCUGAGGGACCGCCGGAGCUUCCACGGGCCGUACACAGUGCAGGCCGGGUUGCCCCUGAACCCCAUGGGCCGCACGGGACUGCGUGGGCGCGGGAGCCUCAGCUGCUUUGGACCCAACCACACGCUGUACCCCAUGGUCACGCGGUGGAGGCGGAAUGAGGACGGAGUCAUCUGCAGGAAGAGCAUAAAGAAGAUGCUGGAAGUGCUGGUGGUGAAGCUCCCUCUCUCCGAGCACUGGGCCCUGCCUGGGGGCUCCCGGGAGCCAGGGGAGACGCUGCCUCGGAAGCUGAAGCGGAUCCUCCAGCAGGAGCACUGGCCGUCUUUUGAGAAUUUGCUAAAGCGCGGCAUGGAGGUGUACAAAGGCUACAUGGACGACCCGAGGAACACGGACAAUGCCUGGAUCGAGACGGUGGCCGUCAGCAUCCACUUCCAGGACCAGAACGACGUGGAGCUGAACAGGCUGAACUCUAACCUGCACGCCUGCGACUUAGGGGCCUCCAUCCGAUGGCAGGUGGUGGACAGGCGCGUCCCGCUAUAUGCGAACCACAAGACCCUCCUCCAGAAGGUGGUGGCUGAGUUCGGGGCUCACUACUGACUGUGCACUCAGGCCGGGCGGCUCCAGUCCAUAGACGGUCCCCCAGAAACCAGGGCUUCUCUCUCCUGAGCCUGUCCAGGACUCAGGCUGAUCCUGGGCCCUGCACAUGAUGGGGUUUGGUGGACCCACUGCCCCUCACGGCCGCUGCAAGUCUGCCACAGAUGACCGCAUGAACUGGACGGGGUCCAGGUGACACGGGAGGAGAGCUCAAUACAGGGCACAGGCUACUCAGAGUUGAGGGGCCCCUGGGACCCUUGGCCAUCAGGCGAGGGGCUGGGCCUGUGCAGCUGGGCCCUUGGCCAGAGUCCACUCCCUUCCUGGCUGUGUCACCCCGAGCAGCUCACCGUGGAGGUCAUCAGCCCGAGGCAAGUUCCCCGGAGAGUCGGGGUCCCCUGUGGCCCCCUCAGGCCUAUGUCUGUGACGAAGGGGCCCUGCCACUGUCCCCAAGAGGGCCUCCAUGUUUCGAGGUGCCUCAACAUGGAUCCUUGCCUGGCCUGGGCUAGGGUCACCGUCUGAACUCCUGGCUGUCAGGAUAAGCUCUGUGGGGGUACAGGAGCCCAGAGAAAGCCCGGGCCUGUCAAGAGACGCAGAGGGCCCCUGCCAGGGUUGGCCCCAGGGACCCUGGGACGAGGCUGCAGAAGCUCUCCCUCCCUACUCCCUGGGAGCCACGUGCUGGCCACGCCCAGGAAGGAGGGACGGCAUGGGCAGGAGGCGGGGACGUGGGGGCCUCCUGGUUUGGUGUCAACAGCUCACAGGAGCGUGAACCAUCAGGGCCCUCAGGAGGGGAAUGUGGUAAAACCCAAGAUGUGAAAUCUGCCAUCUCAGGCCUGGCUGGCUCUUCUGUGCUUUCCACAAAUAAAGUUCCUGACACGUUCAGGGCCUGGGGCUGUGUGAUGGCUGCCUGAAGUUCUCCUCGAUCCCCGGGUGAGCUUCCUGAGGCCUGUGGAUAUCCUGCAGCCCCUCAGCCCUACACCCCCAGUUUCUCCUCUGACCCGUCAGCUCCCUGUCUUCAUUUUCCUAAACCUGGGCUCCAGCAUCGUCCCCAAGCCCACCAGGCCAGGAUGCGGGCAUCCACAUGCCCUCCUCCUUGCUUCCCCUGUGUGGUAGUGCCAAUGUACUCUGGCACCCCUGCAGGGGCUUCGGAUGGAGCCUGGGGCUGCCUGGCCACUGAGCACUGGCUGAGGUGACGCCCAGCCUUCCCUGGAUAGGCCUCUGUCUUCCACCUGACCCGAAGCUCUCUGGCCACCCCCUUGUCCCCAGGUAU
rnacentral:sRNA from 1 species